UGCUUCUUUGCUGACGAGUGGCGGACGGGUGAGUAAUGUCUGGGAAACUGCCUGAUGGAGGGGGAUAACUACUGGAAACGGUAGCUAAUACCGCAUAACGUCGCAAGACCAAAGAGGGGGACCUUCGGGCCUCUUGCCAUCGGAUGUGCCCAGAUGGGAUUAGCUAGUAGGUGGGGUAACGGCUCACCUAGGCGACGAUCCCUAGCUGGUCUGAGAGGAUGACCAGCCACACUGGAACUGAGACACGGUCCAGACUCCUACGGGAGGCAGCAGUGGGGAAUAUUGCACAAUGGGCGCAAGCCUGAUGCAGCCAUGCCGCGUGUAUGAAGAAGGCCUUCGGGUUGUAAAGUACUUUCAGCGGGGAGGAAGGGAGUAAAGUUAAUACCUUUGCUCAUUGACGUUACCCGCAGAAGAAGCACCGGCUAACUCCGUGCCAGCAGCCGCGGUAAUACGGAGGGUGCAAGCGUUAAUCGGAAUUACUGGGCGUAAAGCGCACGCAGGCGGUUUGUUAAGUCAGAUGUGAAAUCCCCGGGCUCAACCUGGGAACUGCAUCUGAUACUGGCAAGCUUGAGUCUCGUAGAGGGGGGUAGAAUUCCAGGUGUAGCGGUGAAAUGCGUAGAGAUCUGGAGGAAUACCGGUGGCGAAGGCGGCCCCCUGGACGAAGACUGACGCUCAGGUGCGAAAGCGUGGGGAGCAAACAGG
rnacentral:rRNA from 1 species